rnacentral:tRNA from 1 species
ACGGAUAUGGUGGAAUUGGCAGACACGCAGGAUUUAGGUUCCUGUGCCGAAAGGCAUGUGGGUUCAAGUCCCACUAUCCGUA